AGUGAACGCUGGCGGUAGGCCUAACACAUGCAAGUCGAACGGCAGCACAGUAAGAGCUUGCUCUUACGGGUGGCGAGUGGCGGACGGGUGAGGAAUACAUCGGAAUCUACUUUUUCGGGGGGGUUAAGGUAGGGAAACUUACGCUAAUACCGCAUACGACCUACGGGUGAAAGCAGGGGAUAUUCGGACCUUGCGCGAUUGAAUGAGCCGAUGUCGGAUUAGCUAGUUGGCGGGGUAAAGGCCAACCAAGGCGACGAUCCGUAGCUGGUCUGAGAGGAUGAUCAGCCACACUGGAACGUAGACACGGUCCAGACUCCUACGGGAGGCAGCAGUGGGGAAUAUUGGACAAUGGGCGCAAGCCUGAUCCAGCCAUACCGCGUGGGUGAAGAAGGCCUUCGGGUUGUAAAGCCCUUUUGUUGGGAAAGAAAAGCAGCAGGUUAAUACCCCGCUGUUCUGACGGUACCCAAAGAAUAAGCACCGGCUAACUUCGUG
rnacentral:rRNA from 1 species